GAAGGGGACAGGACUGUACUAGCCAGAUGGCUUCCUUUCAUCUGGAAAGCAAAAGGUUUCCCUGAAUCCUCAGCAGAUUUCUGCUGUCUUCCCAUUGGCCAGAACUGUGUCACAUGGUCACUUUUAAUAGGUUUAAAAAUGAGUUUUUCUUGGGAAUAUUGCUGGCUUGAACUAAAUUGUGGUUCUGUUAGUGCAAAAAAGAGGAGUGGGUGGAGUUUGGUCACAUACCUCACACAGCCGCUCUUCUUAAGAUGCUACUUAGAGGAUGGUAGGGACUGAGAGGAGGAGGCAGAAGGAGCAUAGCGACCUCUUUGGAGAUACUACAGAGCCUAAGUCAAAGCUUGUUCUUGGACCCAGGAAAUAUGUCAAAUCCUUCCAGUGAAUGGUGCCUUUCAGGAUUGGAGACUACUCCCCCAGUUGCUGAUGGUGUGGUCAGCCCUCAGUUUUCAGUCCUCUUUGGGAAUUGCCUUGGAUGAAGAAAGUCACCUCACCCAAGAUCACUCCAACUCCUGGGACCCACAUCCAAUGAUUGGCCAAUAUGGGGACUCAAAGGCCUGGUCCCCCUUCCCCAACUUGAGACUACUCUGAAGGAUCACCCAGCUUCAGAGCUUCCCAUGGUUGAGACUUUUAGACUUCACUGUGGUCCAACCAAUCUCUUCCUAUACACGGUCCUGACUCCUUCACUUCCCUCCCAGCACUUCUUCUGUGUUAAUAUCAAACUUCUGUGCUAAUAACAAACUUCUUCCGUGCUAAUAUCUCUCAGUGUCUCCUUCCCUGGGAACUCAACCCUAGAUUGUUUAUACCAGCAGUGAUCCAAGAAAGAGAUGCCAACAUGAGAUUUUGGAAUUGGAUCACCUACCAUCCAGCUGGCAGUGCAGACCCCAUCAGUGGCAGUAGAAGAAGUACAUAUAGUCCGUAGCACAAGAUAGCAGUGAAAUUGUUAAAACUUUUGCCAAUGGUGAACUAGAAUGGUAUUCCCAUGGAAGGAAAUGCACCAGAGGGUGUGACCUAUCAGGUGGUUGAGAAAUAUGGGGAGAAUUACCACAAGGACAAUUCAAUUAGGUGGCUUUCACUAAGGAUAAUUAACACUUUGAAAAAAAUAAUGAAAUGUUGAAAAGGAUUCAUCAGCAAUUGAAAACUGAGUGGAGCUCAUAGGGAUACUCUCAUCCCUUGCACCUGGAGGAAAGGGAAAGCUGAGGACCAGGUACAUGGUGUAAUCCUAAUAGUAGCAGAGUGCAGGCCGGGUGCGGUGGCUCAUGCCUAUAAUCCCAGCACUCUGGGAGGCCA
rnacentral:lncRNA from 1 species